CUCAGAACGAACGCUAAUACCGCAUAAUCUCGCGAGAGUAAAGGUGGCGCCGCAAGGGCUACCGUCUAAGGAUUGGCUCAUGUCCCAUUAGCUAGUUGGCGGGGUAAUGGCCCACCAAGGCAACGAUGGGUAUGUGGUCUGAGAGGAUGAUCACACACACUGGAACUGAGACACGGUCCAGACUCCUACGGGAGGCAGCAGUAGGGAAUAUUGCACAAUGGGGAAACCCUGAUGCAGCAACGCCGCGUGAGUGAAGAAGGCCCUUGGGUUGUAAAGCUCUUUAGCGAGGGAAGAAGGUAGAUACGGUGAAUAAUCGUGUUUGCUGACGGUACCUCGAGAAUAAGCACCGGCUAAUUUCGUG
rnacentral:rRNA from 1 species